rnacentral:rRNA from 1 species
AACCUGAAACCGUGUACGUACAAGCAGUGGGAGCACAGGUUUACCUGUGUGACUGCGUACCUUUUGUAUAAUGGGUCAGCGACUUAUAUUCUGUAGCAAGGUUAACCGAAUAGGGGAGCCGGAGGGAAACCGAGUCUUAACCGGGCGUUAAGUUGCAGGGUAUAGACCCGAAACCCGGUGAUCUAGCCAUGGGCAGGUUGAAGGUUGGGUAACACUAACUGGAGGACCGAACCGACUAAUGUUGAAAAAUUAGCGGAUGACCUGUGGCUGGGGGUGAAAGGCCAAUCAAACCGGGAGAUAGCUGGUUCUCCCCGAAAGCUAUUUAGGUAGCGCCUCGUGAAUUCAUCUCCGGGGGUAGAGCACUGUUUCGGCUAGGGGGCCAUCCCGGCUUACCAACCCGAUGCAAACUGCGAAUACCGGAGAAUGUUAUCACGGGAGACACACGGCGGGUGCUAACGUCCGUCGUGAAGAGGGAAACAACCCAGACCGCCAGCUAAGGUCCCAAAGUCAUGGUUAAGUGGGAAACGAUGUGGGAAGGCCCAGACAGCCAGGAUGUUGGCUUAGAAGCAGCCAUCAUUUAAAGAAAGCGUAAUAGCUCACUGGUCGAGUCGGCCUGCGCGGAAGAUGUAACGGGGCUAAACCAU